GACGAACGCUGGCUGCGUGCUUAACACAUGCAAGUCGAACGGAAAGGCCCUGCUUUUGUGGGGUGCUCGAGUGGCGAACGGGUGAGUAACACGUGAGUAACCUGCCCUUGACUUUGGGAUAACUUCAGGAAACUGGGGCUAAUACCGGAUAGGAGCUCCUGCUGCAUGGUGGGGGUUGGAAAGUUUCGGCGGUUGGGGAUGGACUCGCGGCUUAUCAGCUUGUUGGUGGGGUAGUGGCUUACCAAGGCUUUGACGGGUAGCCGGCCUGAGAGGGUGACCGGCCACAUUGGGACUGAGAUACGGCCCAGACUCCUACGGGAGGCAGCAGUGGGGAAUAUUGCACAAUGGGCGGAAGCCUGAUGCAGCAACGCCGCGUGCGGGAUGACGGCCUUCGGGUUGUAAACCGCUUUCGCCUGUGACGAAGCGUGAGUGACGGUAAUGGGUAAAGAAGCACCGGCUAACUACGU
rnacentral:rRNA from 1 species